rnacentral:lncRNA from 1 species
GAAUACUGAUGAACUUACCAUGGAAGUUUUCUGUCCGGUGUUUGGCUCAUAAAAGCAGUCAAUUUAGUUUGAAUAGCUUGCUGCCUGGCCAGCUACUACCUGCUUGAUCGAUUAUCCUUUUAGUUCGGUUGUCAUCAUCUUGGGUGAAAUAAAUGUCUUGCGUCGUCUAUAUAUGGCCAUCAUCGUCUGGUUGUAUCUAUAUGUUAGUGUCUAUAUAUAUAUGAGUCAAAUAAAGGUUGAUCAAAGUCAUCUUGUUAUAAAAUAAUUUCCUUUUAUAUAUCAUAUUUGGGUUUUUUCAUUAAACAAUGUUUUAUCUAUAUCUAUAUCUAUAUCUAUAUCUAUAUCUAUAUCUAUAUCUAUAUCUAUAUCUAUAUCUAUAUCUAUAUCUAUAUCUAUAUCUAUAUCUCUUAUAAAGCAAAAUUCCACUAAUGGAUCUAUCUAAUCUCAUAGCGAUCCACGUCAUCAAUACAUGAAAAAGUCACCAAUGAAAAUUAUUUCUGUACUAGUGUUUGAUGGCUACCAAUAUAUCUGUUGUGUUCUAAAAUGGAUAGAACGAGUAAAGAAAAACUAAUCCAUUUUUAGUUGCGAGUAUUAAACACUAACUUCUAAUGCCUAUAUUUCUUAUAAUUCUAGCUGGUGCCAGGAGCAUAUAGACUCAUGGUCUAGUGUUUUAUUAAUUUGACAUGUAUUUAUGGUAUAAAAAAAGAGUUAUCCUAGAUGGAUGGAUAGAGAUGAGGGUCACCAUGGCAUUAUUAUUAUAGGUGUGAAAGCAUGUGGGAAGCAUCAUGCAUCAUCCUAUGGAGCUGACCUCUGUGCUUGUGUGUUGUGUGUGUGCCUUGUUGUGUAGUGCUCCAAAGAAGGCCUGCUGGGCUGCAUGUUUAUAGAUGAUCAAAGCGUGUGACCUAGCUGCUUGUGUUGCCAAUUAAAUUAGUGGACGGGCUUUGGGAUGCGUCUAUGAUUGAUUAGGUGCAGUACUCGCCUCUCCAACCAUUGUAAAAAUAUUUUCAGAAUAUGUGAGCUGUUGUGGCUUCCCGCCUCGACACAGUGUGGGAAAUAAAAGACGAGCACUAUACCAAGUCUGUACGAUAAUUUGCUGCUUUGCCAGCUAGCUAGGUGUGUGUCGGCUUGUGAUUUAAUUUGACUUAUGAUCCAUCAUUUGUUAACACACUCACGUGAACAAGGCAGCCUAGCUAUACUUAAACAAUUUGUCAAAACCAUGAUACUGAAACUACGUCAUCGGAGGUAAGAGCUUAAAGAAAUUGCAACAAUUGAUUUCAUUUCAAAUGUAUAGGACAACUAAACAAUUAAAAUAUUCAUGGAUAUCUUAGGCUGUUGAUCCAACAUGCCCCAAGCUAGUGUUGAAGCCAAGAACUCGUAGGAGCACGCUGACGUUGAACAGAGUUGAUAGAAGUUAGGAGAAGAAGUCCACUAUGCCCUAGAGUGUAUACUACCAUGUCGACCGCGGGAGUUUUGUGGAAUUUGGGGGGCUUAUGUUCGUCUCCUAUAUAAGUAUGGGAGUCUCUAACUAUUGGAAAUAAUAAUUACGGAUAUUUAUUUUUGUUUUCCCAAACUGUUCUCAUUAAUUUUUUGAUAUACCCUAACUAGAAGAUUGGCACUUAUGAGUUUUGCACCGUUAGCUCCCCGCCGAACGUCAGUCGCGAACGCCGCUUGGUAUCUAAAAACUACUUAUCUCCAAACAAUUUUGAACAGGAAAGAUUCACUUUCUCACUAUCUUGAUAUAUGGUUUUGCUCAAUUUGGUAGCCUCAAAUGUCUCAAGAGAAAACACUAAGCUUGCAUACCAGAGGUGUUCCCAGAAUGCAACGGUUGCAUGCAUAUAGCUACCAAACUAGCAGUUAAUAACUUACUUCUACUUCUCCAUCACCCUACCCCCAAUGUACAUUUAUAUAUUAUGUGUUCCAUAAAUUUUUAAUCCAACAUGCAGUAGCGAUGACUUAUCAUGCCUAUGAAUGCUACUUAGCACUGCCAUGCAUUUCAUAGUUUCAAACAACAGUUCUCAACUCCCCGCGAGUUUAUUGCUUUUCUAUCUGAUGAGGAGCAUGACUGGUUGCUCUCUAACCUAUCCACAUUACUCUAACCUAUCCACAUUAUCUCCACAACUCCACCCACAAUUUUCUUAACAAGAGAGGGUGUUAGAGAGAGAAACACACGAGAUAGAACGUAAGUUCGGCGACAGCCGGAAGCCCGGAACCCGCGUUGUCCCAGCCAGUUAAAAGUAGGAUAAUAUUCUACUUAUGCAUUUCCGCACAAUCACUUUAAAUGGCAUCCGUAGUUUGGACGUAGAUUCAGAGGUUAUUUAUUUUUUUCAUAAUGUCCAAAAUGGAUUUUUUUUAAGAAAACAGAAUAGGUUUAUUGACUAUAUAUAUGAUUACAGUCCGAUGAAUCAUUAUCGCAUAGAUUUUUGUUUCAAAGAAACAAAAAUAUAGUGGAAAGGCAAAUUAUUAUCUAUCCAGCUUUUGUUUUGUCCCCACUGCCAUGGUGGAAUAAAGGCGAAACAUUAUCGAGAUGAUUUUUGUUUUCUUCCCUACUGCCGUGGUGGAAAGACGAAUUGUUAUCUAAAUCUUCUGUUUUUUUCUCCACGCACUGCUGCGAUGGAAAGGCAAAAUACUAUCGAGUAGACUUCUGUUUUUUUCCUCAUUGCCAUGGUGUAAAGGCGCAAACUUCUGUUUUUUCCCAUGUUGCCGGCCGUGGUGUGGAAAGGUGAACCAGCUCCUGUAUUUUAAUUGAUUAGGACAACGCGCGCUGAUCACCUAUAUAGCUAUAAAUACGUCUCCAGCCUUCGUUCUUUGGAGCAUCACACAACAACACAAGGCACACACAUUACACAAUAAGCAGAGGCGGUAGCUAGCUAGCUAGCAAAUGGCGAUGAACCCUCCGAGUAGCAUAGUGGCUUCCAUGGCUGCACCUGUACCAGCCAAGUUCACCAAGUUCACCUUCCGUACCUUAUAUAUUCGUCGGACGGAUCCAGGCAGUAAGGAGAUGUCUCAGGCUGGAAGACCAUCUGAUCAGCUGGGCAGAAGAAACAUCAGUGACUGCCCCAUAUAUGACGGCCGUGGCUCCAACGCCAGCCUAGUUGGUCGCAUACAGGGAAUCACAGUCCAAAUUGGCAAUGCACAUCAAUUAGUCACCAUCGUUUUUGAGACCCAGAGGUAUUAUACAUGCAUGUAUGGUUAAACUUUCAGAAAAUACUGCUUGCUGGUCGGUCUCUUUAAUUCGUUUUACUACUUAUUAUAUAUAAAUGUAUGCAUGGGCAAUUAAUUAAUUCAUCAUCUCGAUCAGGCUUAAGGGCUCUACGCUCCUUACCAAUGGAAUGGUAACGGCUGGGUCUGAUGAAUGGGCAAUCUACGGUGGAACCGGAGUGUUUGCUAUGGCGACAGGUAUCAUAAAAAGGAAAAAUCUCGCCGAUAGGACUGGUGGCAACACUGAUGAACUCAGCAUGGAAGUUUUCUGCCCAGUGUUUGGCUAAUCAAAGUAGCCAAUUUAAUUUGAACAGCUUGCUACCUGGCCUGCUACUACUACCUACUUGAUCGAUUAUGCUUUCAUCUGGUCGUCAUCAUCCUGUGUGAAAUAAAGGAGGUCUUGCAUCUCUCUCUAUAUAUAUGGCCGUCAUCGUCUGGUUGU